AAGCAGUUGAAGGAAACAGUCAUUUUAAUAAGGAGCUUCUAUAUAAAACAAAUCCUAAUACUUCAUUAUCUAUUUAUUCCUUUCAGUCAUUCAAUCUUAUUUUAUCCUUCAUAAUUAAAAAGAAGACAAAAUCUUUAAGAAUGAUCUGAUAUUACAUUUUUGUGUAAAAGAUAUUGGUGGAAUGUAGGACUGGCUGUCUGUGCUCAUCUCUGAUAAUAUUUUAGCUUUCUCUUAAUUCAACUCAAAAUGCUUUAUGCUGUCUUAGAGGUGCCUGUUAAAGGUUGUGUGGUGAUAUAACAGUGACUUUUCUGAGGUAAGUAACAAGCUUGUCUGCAUAUCUGUAAAUAAUUCGAAACAAUGCUAAAAGUAACAUGUUAAAAUAACUCAAAAAGUCCACCUCCCAUGCUGUUACUGGAUUAUGGUCCUUUUUUGACAGCUCCAUGAGGGGACCUGAGCCUGUCCUGCAUAUAUUGGAACGAUAACUACAAGGUAGAAAGUAAUCUGGCAGUGGAAGGAGCACACAGGGAGAGGCAGCAACAGAAGAAGCAGAUUGGGGCAAGACUUAAUGGAGUUUCAACCCCUCCAAACUAGGAAACCAUGAUUAAGUUCGAGAGUCUGAUUUCAGCUGACUGAAGCCAAACAAUUAGAAGUGCAGGCUGCAAACUUAGCCAUUGCUGCACAACGUCAUGAGUAACUAAUGGAUAAGACUCCAGACAAGAGAUGGUGAUGCAUGACAGAUACCGACAUGAAUCCUUCAAUGCCUGUCCAUAGCAUGACUUCAGAAAAAAGGAGAUGCAAAGGCAUGUUUCAACAUUCCCUGAUUUUCCUUGAUACAGUCAGCAUGAUUCUGCCAUGUAUUCCUCUGAGGAUAAAACUCUCUUAGGUAUCUUGAUGUACCAAACAGUCCUAGGGAGCAGGUAUUGCUCAGCUUUCCUGUAUGGAACAGGAGGCCAGGGGAGACCUAGGAGGACAAAGACUGGAUCAGUGGUCUGGAGGAGGGAUCAGAGCUGCGUGCCAAAGGGUGGUUUUGCUGGUGGUCUGGAAAGUCAAUGAUAAAGAUUGAGUUGGACUCUUCCAUUUUGUCACUAUGUGAAAAUGAUGCUAUCUAUCAGGAGUCUUGAUCCUGAGAGACAUUUGUUUAAUAUGUAACAAGGUAUUAACAUGGAGUGUUACAUCAGCUGUAACUUCACCUUUGCUUCAAAAAUACAAUAUCUGCCUAAGCUUUGUUUUCUGUGAAGCUGGACCUCUUUUCAAACUAAACUACUAUUUCUGUUUUUCUUUUUGUGAAUUUUUCUUUUUGUGAACUUAUUCUUUUUAUCUGAAGUUUCCAGGAACUAAGCAAUUUACCAAUUUGAAGGAUUUUUUUUUGCUUUGCUUUGUUUUUGUUAAAUUUAGAUUAUUUUUUUUUUUCCUAAAUGAAGAAAUUUACAACAUGAGCAACUUCUCAGUAAGAUCUGUUGAAUGUGAAUAAACUUCCUGGAACUGUUUGCCAA